UACAAAGCAUCAUCUGAAGAAUUGCGUGUCCUUCAUGGAGAUCAACACCAGAUAGAGGAGAGAGCAGAGGCAACGAGGGUGACUAAUAUGAGGCAGCAAGACAUCUAGCUGGGUUACAGAGAUAUGGAAGUACUGCUGAAAGAGCCGUCAUUCAGACUUAGUAAGGUAAAGAUUGCCGUUAAAAAAAAAAAAAAAAAGGACUGAAUGAUCUCAUGAACCCAGAUAUUGAGUUGUGUUUACAGAUGAUCUUAUAGAGCUCUUCAAAACAAAUAAAGCUGAUCUCGCAACAUCAUCCACAUCUUCUGUGGAUUAUAAAUAAGAUAAAGAGUCAAAGCUUCCAUGUGUAGUGGUGAGGCUGAAAACUUGAUGGUAGCUCCUCCCACAUGCGAGGGAGAGUCUAAGU